AUGGGAUUUGUUAAAUUGAAUGUGGAUGCUUCUUUUGAUCAUGAUCAGCUAAGGGGCACAACGGGUGCUGUUAUCAGAGAUGAUAAAGGAAACUUCAUAGCAGGUGGUAACUGGAAGAUUCAAUACUGUGCGGAUGCUCUGACAGCGGAGGCAUUAGCACUCAGGUUUGGUUUAGUGUUGGCACGAAAAACAGGUUGCAAUCAUCUCAUUGUCAAUUCUGAUAAUAUGGAAGUCAUUGACACAAUGAAGAAUGGUGGACAGCUUGCGGGAGCGGCGACUGCAAUUUUUGAGGAUUGUUUUUUUAUGGCCUCUGAUUUUCCACAAACCAGUUUUGAACAUUGUAAUAGAGAAGCGAACAAAGUAUCUCAUGAGCUUGCUAGAUUAGCAAAAUGUUCCAUGACUAGGGAUUGGAUAGAGGAGCCCAUGGAAAUGUUGGGAAUCGUUGCAUGGAAAAACAAAAAAAAUCUGCGCACACACAAUGAUCUAUCCAUGGAGAUUCAUAGCAACGAGGGGAAGAGUGUGCCUACGUACCCUCGUAGACCGUAA
rnacentral:rRNA from 1 species